rnacentral:rRNA from 1 species
GGGUUGUGAGGUUAAGCGACUAAGCGUACACGGUGGAUGCCCUGGCAGUCAGAGGCGAUGAAGGGCGUGCUAAUCUGCGAUAAGCGCCGGUAAGGUGAUAUGAACCGUUAUAACCGGCGAUACCCGAAUGGGGAAACCCAGUGUGAUUCGUCACACUAUCAUUAACUGAAUCCAUAGGUUAAUGAGGCGAACCGGGGGAACUGAAACAUCUAAGUACCCCGAGGAAAAGAAAUCAACCGAGAUUCCCCCAGUAGCGGCGAGCGAACGGGGAGGAGCCCAGAGCCUGAAUCAGCAUGUGUGUUAGUGGAAGCGUCUGGAAAGGCGCGCGAUACAGGGUGACAGCCCCGUACACAAAAGCGCAUGUGCUGUGAGCUCGAUGAGUAGGGCGGGACACGUGGUAUCCUGUCUGAAUAUGGGGGGACCAUCCUCCAAGGCUAAAUACUCCUGACUGACCGAUAGUGAACCAGUACCGUGAGGGAAAGGCGAAAAGAACCCCGGCGAGGGGAGUGAAAAAGAACCUGAAACCGUGUACGUACAAGCAGUGGGAGCACAGGUUUACCUGUGUGACUGCGUACCUUUUGUAUAAUGGGUCAGCGACUUAUAUUCUGUAGCAAGGUUAACCGAAUAGGGGAGCCGUAGGGAAACC